rnacentral:rRNA from 1 species
CCUACGGGGGGCUGCAGUGAGGAAUAUUGGUCAAUGGUCGGAAGACUGAACCAGCCAUGCCGCGUGCAGGAAGAAUGCCUUAUGGGUUGUAAACUGCUUUUAUAUGGGAAGAAUAAGGAGUACGCGUACUUUGAUGACGGUACCAUAUGAAUAAGCAUCGGCUAACUCCGUGCCAGCAGCCGCGGUAAUAUGGAGGAUGCGAGCGUUAUUCGGAAUCAUUGGGUUUAAAGAGUCUGUAGGCGGGCUAUUAAGUCAGGGGUGAAAGGUUUCAGCUUAACUGAGAAAUUGCCUUUGAUACUGGUAGUCUUGAAUAUCUGUGAAGUUCUUGGAAUGUGUAGUGUAGCGGUGAAAUGCUUAGAUAUUACACAGAACACCGAUUGCGGAGGCAGGGGACUAACAGAUGAUUGACGCUGAGAGACGAAAGCGUGGGGAGCGAACAGGAUUAGAUACCCCAGUAGUC